rnacentral:rRNA from 1 species
UACGUAGGGUGCAAGCGUUGUCCGGAAUUAUUGGGCGUAAAGGGCGCGUAGGCGGUGCUGUAAGUCUGUGGUGAAAUCUCUGGGCUCAACUCAGAGUCUGCCAUAGAAACUGCAGUGCUGGAGUGUGGGAGAGGUGAGUGGAAUUCCCGGUGUAGCGGUGAAAUGCGUAGAGAUCAUGAGGAAGACCAGUGGCGAAGGCGGGUCUCUGGACAGUUCCUGACACUGAGGCACGAAGGCCAGGGGAGCAAACGGG